UACGGAGGGUGCAAGCGUUAUCCGGAUUCACCGGGUUUAAAGGGUGCGUAGGUGGGUCUGUAAGUCAGUGGUGAAAUCCCCGAGCUUAACUUGGGAACUGCCGUUGAUACUAUAGAUCUUGAAUAUCGUGGAGGUAAGCGGAAUAUGUCAUGUAGCGGUGAAAUGCUUAGAUAUGACAUAGAACACCGAUUGCGAAGGCAGCUUGCUACACGAUCAUUGACACUGAGGCACGAAAGCGUGGGGAUCAAACAGG
rnacentral:rRNA from 1 species